GUGGAAAAAUCCAGACUCGCACGUUUAUCUAUAGGCUGCGUGACUGGAUUCCAGAAUUAGUCGCAAUAUAUAAUAAUCCAUAUCGCGUGAUUCUUUCAUUCAUUCGUUCAUUCAGCUUUCAACAAACCUUAGCUACUUUCAUUGGAAUCUUCAAAUACUUUUUCAACAAACAAAGGAAAAAGAAUAAUCAUAAAGUUAUAUGGAUAGCAAGUCACCGAGCAAGAAGGAGUCUAGUGAAGUGGCAGCACGCGAGUCGCUUAUUGCUAUUUCUAACACUUCACCAGAUAAGAUUCUGAAUUCAAAUUCUGCGUCUGAGGGCAAGAAAUCAGAUGGGGCUGUGUUGCCAAACUGUGAUCAGGAUGAACAGUUUAGGUCUGAACUGAUUUCAAUUUCGUAUGCUGAAUCACCUGAUGUCAAGAUCGGAUCGAUUGCAAUGGGAGUCUAGGCUGCAGCUAUAAUUUGUCAUUAAAUCAUGUGCUAUGAACUUUGUCUAUGUCAGUUUUGUGACUAAAUUAGUUGUGUACUUUAUCUUCUAUACUGCAACUAAAUGUAAAUACUUUCAUAGCCCACAUGUUAGGGUCAUAUGCUGGAAUAACUGUGAUAACUAUGUUGUCACACUACUGUGUUAGUUCAUGUGAGAUUCUGAAAAUAAACACUCAACUUGUACCAUGUUUUCUUAUGUUAAACAGCACUAAAGUCUUUGGGCCCAAUUUUACUAUCUUUGAA